ACUCUAUUUCCACAUUUGUGUAAUGGCAGCUCUUAUUAGUUUUCAAUUCGCUUCAUUUUUUCGCAGCCGGUAAAACCAAUGAAAAGUAGUUAACGUAGUGGUUAUUUAGUGUAAAUUAAUUAAAAUUGUUGUGCAUAAAUUUAAUUAAAAUAUUACACUUCUUAAAUUUGAAUGUACAGAAAAGCAUAUAAUAAAAUGCCAUAGCAUUAGAUUUAGUUGUAAAACACACAACUUAUUUACUCUAUAAACAUAAAAGAAAUCGCCAAAAACUACAAGUCAAAAGCCGCCUAAUCCAAACACUUUGAAUCAUCUGUGUUAGCCUUAAAUUUUGGAACGAUCCGUUACUUUGGCCGUUAUACCGCUACAACCAAAUAACUUUAGUGCUAUUUGUUUCUUCUUGUACCAUGUGUAUGUGCGAUGGUGUUGGGAAAUGAAUUAAUAGAUAGAGUUUUAUUGCAAAUGUCUAUGACAGAAAUUUAUUGUAAAUUUUCUGUCUUUACACCCACCAAACUCACGGAGGACCAGUUUUUGAAAUCUGAUGACGGAAUUGACACAGGUUUCAAUACCGGUUGUACCAGUUAAAGUACCUCGACAUCCAAUCCAAUCCAAACUGAUCAUCCAUCACAAUUUCUGACAGCAUUCCAUCUACCAGUCACAGUAGAAUGUGCACAGCGCGCCAACACUUAAUAGUGCCAGUUUUAGCAAUAAGAGCUAGUUGAAAUCGCGUAAAAAAUAGAUAGCAUGACUAGGAAAAAUCGUUACCAGCGAGCAGUUUUUAUGCUCAAAGGAUCGAGAGAAAUAAAAAAGAAAUCUCCAUGUGUGCAAUGAAACCGGCACUGCUAAGUACCGCGUCAUUGUUUAUGAGUAUCUUUACAAAGAGGAUCUGCACCAAUCUGAUAAUCGCCAAUCCAAGAACGUCGGAGAUGGUGGAAAGUGUAACAGAUCCCAGGAAGAACCUGACAUGGCUGUGAAACAUUAUAAAGAUGAAACGGGGGAAACGGUCUCUUUAGUGAAAUGGCGAAGGAUUAGUGAAGUGGAGCUUUGAUCGAUGAACGCAACUCCAACUGCAUGCUGCUGAUGGAGAGGUGGGCGUUGAUUGAAACCAAACUGUCCGAAAUGGUUACAGCCGAGUUUAUAACCAAUACGUGGUCUGUUCCCUGGUUAGACUGCGCAGAUUUGGUCCGAGGUCACCGGGUGAUCACAUGCUACGACGAGUACUGAAGGAAAUUCCUCAGCAAGCCAAUCACUAAGAUUAGUGAUUACUGGGACGGUUUAAAGCUUAAACUUCUUCCGACUGCGAAUUUUGGUAGAACAUUGCUGGGCGACAUCAUCAUAGACAAAAAAAACCCUGUUGAUGAGCUAAUCGCCAAGGUCGUGAAAAAAAAUCUGAAGCACUCGAAAUGUGUUGCGGUUAAUCAGGUAGUUUUACUCAGAGAAGAAGACAUCGACUUUGCCAUCUUUCAAGAGCCAUGGGUUUAUAGCUCAUAUGUCGAAGAGCUCAACAUAAUCGGAUAAUAUCUCUUCUACGUAAACAGAUAAGAUAUCACCACCAUCAAAGUAGAGCGGUAGCAGAAGUUUGCGAUUUUAAAAGUAUCCACCUAUACACCACACGAAGACAAGCCCCCUCCAGAGGGAGUUAAAUUGUUAUACAAUUAUGCACAUACCGAGCAGCUAAGUUUGCUGGUAAGCUGGAAUACCAAUGCCCUGCACUCCUUGUGGGGAAUCUCGGAAACUAAUGAACGAGGUGACUCCUUUUUGAAUACAUAAAAGGUUCGAACCUUAAGGUUUGUAAUAAAGCUUAUACUCCCACCAUCGUUUUUCAGGGAUGAUCAUGACCAGGUUGGGAAAAAGUUUUAGAUAUUACUCUUUGCUUGAUUUGCCGUUCACUACCGAUCAAUGACUGGAGAGUGUCAGCUAUUAACUCUCUCUCUCUCUCUGAGCAUUACUUCGUGAUGGAUAUUUUCAUAUCCUUAGCCUUAGCGCAGUCCUAAGAAGGCAAACUGAGAUGCAUUUAAUAGGCUGUUUAAUAACAAAAUUGAUUCCAAUAACCUCGAUUAAAGAAUUAGAGAGUAGCGUCAACUCAUUUACCCUAAACAUCCAAUCUGUCUUUAAAGCAUCGUACCCAUGCUCAUUAUCGUGCGAAGAAAUGUCAGCACCGUGGUAGAACAAAGGGCUUUCUAUGCUGCGUAAAAACGCGCGACAAGCAUUCAAUUAAAGCUAUCGCAUCAAAGUGUGGUCUCCAUACAAGGAUAGUGUAAGGGCAUAAAAAACGCGCUUCAAGAAUCCAAGAAAGUGUACUGGAAUUUUGUUUGCCAGAAAAUUGAAAUCAUUAAGCAUUAAGAAUUAAAUAAAUUAACUAAACUGUUAGCAAUACGUCUAUGUUGCCUCUCCCUCAAUAUAAAGCAUAUGUUAGUUACUUAAUAGGCAGAAAUAUAGACAGAUUAUUUGUUUAAAUGGGCAUCCUUCUUUUUCUAAAAAGAUAAAGAAAAACCAUAAAGCCUGUGUCCAUCUCAAUCGUAUUCUCUUUGUCCUCCUCUAUUUCUCUUUCCUCCUCUUUGCUCCUAUUACCUCUAUCUACCUCAGUCUCCCAAUAAACUUAUUUCUCUAAAGAAGACUAAUGAGGAUUUCAGCUUACACAUAAACUUUAAAUAUAGUAAGGUAGAUUUAAAACUGGUGAAACUUGAUUAUAUUACAAAAUAUCGUAAAUAAAGUGACUUGACUUAUUAUAAUGAAGAUUCAUUAUAAUUUUGAUUAACAUUUUAAGAAACGUCAAUACGAAAUUAUGGAUGAAAAAAGUAAAGUCAUGUUUUCAGUAUAAAAGAGGGGAGAAAAGAGGGAUUAGAAGCAGAACUCUCUACCUACAAAAAAAUAAUGAUAACAUUACCUGCUUCGAUUUAAUCAAAACCAGUGAUAAAGUGAUGUUCCUAUCGGUAAUUAUUGUCUUUUGUUGAUUCUUGGCAUUGAUGAAUUUUAACUUCAUGAAUGGUGUAUCAGACAAUUGAUUACCGAUGUUGCUAUACAUCUAUACUUUUAGAUGUAAUACGAUGCUACAUAAAAUCAUAAACGUCUUUUUUAUUGCCAAGUUAUAGUGGGAGAAUAGGAUGUAAAUAAUCAAAUAAAGUAUAAUUAAAAAAGAUUUAUUUGCAUUAUCUGUGCUAUGGCGAUUAUGACUUACAUAAUUAUUAUAUUAUAUCGUUAGUUGAUAAGUUUAUAUUAUUAUUUUUAUUUAAGACUUACUGACUUUGCGAACGUUAUACUGACUGAAGGCAAAUAGAAUGUUUUGAUAGUGAGAAUGUGUUUAAUCACUAAUCCGGUGCUUUUUAGUAAUAAUACAAAAUAAUUGAUGAACCUGUGGCGGCCUUAUAAUAUUCCUGCGUAGCAUACGAACGUUGUUAUGAUAAAUAAAAACAUAGUAUACUAACGUUAUUAUGACAAGUAAAAAUGUGAGUUGUAAAAAAGCAAUUGUAAAUAGACAUUGUAAAAAUUGUGUAGAUUAGUGUUUAUUAUUAAUAAAUCUGUAAAGCUAAAAUUCAAAUCAAAAGCGUUUCAAUAAACCACGUCUCCACAAACCAAUUGCUAUGUACAAAACAAACACGAAUAUUUCUGAUAGAUCCAAUUCAUUUUAACAUUCGUAUGGGGAAAAUUAAUACUUCUAGUUUUGUUUGAUGACUGUGUUUAGAAAAUAAAAAGAUGUUAAUAUUUAGCAUAUCCUUAUUUUAGUAAUGACAAGAUCAACAUCAACAUUUUUUGGAACCAAUAAAACUAUUUAACUUCGCGAAAGUUGGCUCCAUAAAGCCGCCUGCUCCUUAACCAAAAAAAAUAGCAAAUCGCAAUCGCAUUUAUAAAAUUGAAACAACGUAUACUUCUUAAUUUUACUAUUCCCACCUUCAAUUUCAUACAAUGAAUAAAUUUCAAACAAAAUAUUUUGUUUAAUCAAAAGUUAGCACGAGUGAGACAACAAGACGCGCAUGCUAUGUAACCGCAGACAAACUUUUCAUAUAAAUAACUAUAUAGGUAAAGAAACAAACAAUAUAAAAUAAUAAGUAAAUUCUAGCUUGUAAUUGCUCAGGUUGAUGUCCUCAUCCUAAAAAACAAAAAUCUUUUUUGUAGAAAAUGUUAAAAUCAAAAAAAAAAAAUUAAUG